CCUACGGGGGACAGCAGUGAGGAAUAUUGGUCAAUGGACGAGAGUCUGAACCAGCCAUGCAGCGUGAAGGAUGACUGCCCUAUGGGUUGUAAACUUCUUUUAUAUGGGAAUAAAAUGUUCCACGUGUGGGCUUUUGUAUGUACCAUACGAAUAAGGAUCGGCUAACUCCGUGCCAGCAGCCGCGGUAAUACGGAGGAUCCGAGCGUUAUCCGGAUUUAUUGGGUUUAAAGGGAGCGUAGGUGGAUUGUUAAGUCAGUUGUGAAAGUUUGCGGCUCAACCGUAGAAUUGCAGUUGAUACUGGCAGUCUUGAGUUCAGUAGAGGUGGGCGGAAUUCGUGGUGUAGCGGUGAAAUGCUUAGAGAUCACGAAGAACACCGAUUGCGAAGGCAGCUCACUGGACUGCGACUGACACUGAGGCUCGAAAGUGUGGGUAGCAAACAGGAUUAGAUACCCUGGUAGUC
rnacentral:rRNA from 1 species